AACGAACGUUGGCGGCGUGCCUAAUACAUGCAAGUCAACUGAAGCACGGUAGCAAUACUGUGUGGAGGUGGCGCACGGGUGAGUAACACGUAGGUAAUCUGCCUUCAGGUCUGGCAUAACCCCGGGAACCGGGGACGUAUAGCAGAUGAUGCAGCGGCGUUGUACAUCAAGACAGUUGUUAAAGACUACCGAGCAAUCGGCGGCGCCUGAAGAUGAGCC
rnacentral:rRNA from 1 species